ncrna:unclassified sequences freshwater-2 RNA
ACUCACAUGGGGUGAGUUUUAUGCGGAAAUCCAACCGCGUACGGCCUAGAACGCCGUUAUUCUUUAAGGAGAAAUUAAAAUG